AGUGAACGCUGGCGGUAGGCCUAACACAUGCAAGUCGAACGGCAGCACAGUAAGAGCUUGCUCUUACGGGUGGCGAGUGGCGGACGGGUGAGGAAUACAUCGGAAUCUACUUUUUCGUGGGGGAUAACGUAGGGAAACUUACGCUAAUACCGCAUACGACCUACGGGUGAAAGCAGGGGAUCUUCGGACCUUGCGCGAUUGAAUGAGCCGAUGUCGGAUUAGCUAGUUGGCGGGGUAAAGGCCCACCAAGGCGACGAUCCGUAGCUGGUCUGAGAGGAUGAUCCGCCACCCUGGAACUGAGACACGGUCCAGACUCCUACGGGAGGCAGCAGUUGGGAAUAUUGGGCAAUGGGCGCAAGCCUGAUCCAGCCAUACCGCGUGGGUGAAGAAGGCCUUCGGGUUGUAAAGCCCUUUUGUUGGGAAAGAAAAGCAGCAGGUUAAUACCCCGCUGUUCUGACGGUACCCAAAGAAUAAGCACCGGCUAACUUCGUG
rnacentral:rRNA from 1 species